rnacentral:rRNA from 1 species
AAUGAACGUUGGCGGCGUGGAUUAGGCAUGCAAGUCGUGCGGCAGCAGGCCCGCAAGGGCGCUGGCGAGCGGCGAAAGGGAGAGUAACGCGUGGGUACGUACCCCUGGGAUCAGGAUAGCGGCGGGAAACUGCCGGUAAUACUGAAUAACAUCUCAGGAUCAAAGGUGUGAUUCCGCCUGGGGAUCGGCCCGCGUCCUAUCAGCUAGUUGGCGAGGUAAUGGCUCACCAAGGCUAUGACGGGUACUGGGUGUGAGAGCACGACCCAGCUCACUGGGACUGAGAUACUGCCCAGACACCUACGGGUGGCUGCAGUCGAGAAUCUUCGGCAAUGGGCGCAAGCCUGACCGAGCGACGCCGCGUGCGGGAUGAAGGCCUUCGGGUUGUAAACCGCUGUCGUAGUGGAGGAAAUAUCAGGGGGUUCUCCCCUUGGUUUGACUGAUACUAGGAGGAAGGGUGGGCUAAGCUCGUGCCAGCCGCCGCCGUAAGAC